CCGGCCGGGGAGAAUGCGGGGAGACCGCGUUUAGAGGAUCAGUGGCGGCGGGCCCGCGCGGUGCCGGCGACUAGCAGCGAGGUGUCCUGGCCCCUUCCAGGUUUGGGAGAAUGGAGAGAGCAAGGUGUAGCUGAUUAGCAAGUUAAUUAUUUCAGUACCCCAAGGGUUCAUGCGUGGUGGAGAUGGCCUUGGGAGAGCAACCUCUGGACCUCAGCAGUGUGAGCAUGACAACAGUACCCUGUGGUGCUGUCCCCACUCAGGUUGGCUACCAUCCCUGCUGAUGGAGAGAGGCUGAAGUCUGUCCGAGAAGAUAGUGCCGGCAACUACUUAGCUGUUACUAAUUGUAUUUGCAGAGUAGGGAUGCAGAGGCCUCCCAGAGAAGUGUGAAGGGAUGGGCCUUAACCAGGGUUGAAGAAAGAAAGUGAAGAAGGGGAGAGCCCAAGGAAAGAGAUGGAAGCCAGAACCUUGCAUAUUCUAGGCAAAUAUUCUACCACUGAGUUACAUUCCCAGCCUGGACCAUUUUCUUUUGGAACAUGCACCAACAUGGCUCCCUUGUGCAGGCGAGCACUGAGUUAGUGGUCCAGCCUGAGGAAGGCCUUGUUGGGUCUGGGCUGUGAUGCUUUUGUGUGUGUUCUUUUGCAUAUGUCCACUCCGUUUGCCUUUUGGUUUUUUUCUCCCUUUCAUUUUAUCUCCUCCCCUGAUGACAUUCUGAGUUAGGCUUUGGGUACAGGAACAUCUUAGCCCCAGGAGUGCAGGGCCCCUCCUUUCCCUUUCUGC